CCUACGGGGGGCAGCAGUGGGGAAUAUUGGGCAAUGGGCGCAAGCCUGACCCAGCAAUGCCGCGUGAAGGAAGAAGGCUUUCGGGUUGUAAACUUCUUUGACAGGGGAAGAGCAGAAGACGGUACCCUGAAAACAAGCCACGGCUAACUACGUGCCAGCAGCCGCGGUAAUACGGAGGUGGCAAGCGUUGUUCGGAUUUACUGGGUGUAAAGGGCGUGUAGCCGGGAAGGCAAGUCAGAGGUGAAAUCUGGAGGCUCAACCUCCAAAUUGCAUUUGAAACUGUUUUUCUUGAGUACUGGAGAGGCAGACGGAAUGCGUGGUGUAGCGGUGAAAUGCGUAGAUAUAAGGCGGAACACCAGUGGCGAAGGCGGUCUGCUGGACAGAAACUGACGGUGAGGCGCGAAAGCGUGGGGAGCAAACAGGAUUAGAUACCCGAGUAGUC
rnacentral:rRNA from 1 species